GACAGAGGAUGCAAGCGUUAUCCGGAAUGAUUGGGCGUAAAGAGCUCGUAGGCGGUUCGUCGCGUCGGCUGUGAAAACCUGAGGCUCAACCUCAGGCCUGCAGUCGAUACGGGCGGACUUGAGUACUGCAGGGGAGACUGGAAUUCCUGGUGUAGCGGUGAAAUGCGCAGAUAUCAGGAGGAACACCGGUGGCGAAGGCGGGUCUCUGGGCAGUAACUGACGCUGAGGAGCGAAAGCGUGGGGAGCGAACAGG
rnacentral:rRNA from 1 species